CCCGGGUGUGGUGGCGCAUGCCUGUAGUCCCAGCUACUUGGAGGCUGAGGCAGGAGGAUCACUUGAGCCCGGGAGGUUGAGGCUGCAGUGAGCUGUGACUGCAUCACUGCACUUCAGCCUGGACAACAGAGACAGAGAGAGAGACCCUGUCUCAAAAAAAAGUAAAACAAACAUUUUCUAAGGACAUUCUAUGUACCAGAUACCAUGCUAAGAGUUUUAACAUUACGUUUUUUUGUUUUUAAAGAUGGGGUCUUGCUCUGUUGCCCAGGCUGGAGUGCAGUGGGGCAAUGACAGCUCACUGCAGCCUCGAACUCCUGGGCUCAAGCGAUCCUCCCGCUU
rnacentral:SRP_RNA from 1 species